GGAGGGGCGGGGUGGGGUGCGUUAGGGAGCGGGGAUGAGUCUAGUGGGCGGCUUCCCCCACCACCCGGUGGUGCACCAUGAGGGCUACCCUUUCGCCGCCGCCGCCGCUGCCGCCGCUGCCGCCGCCACCCGCUGCGGCCACGAAGAGAACCCCUACUUUCACGGCUGGCUUAUCAGCAGCCACCCGGAGAUGUCCCCCCCCGACUACAGCAUGGCUCUGUCCUACAGCCCCGAGUACGCCAACGGGGCGCCGGGCAUGGACCACUCCCAUUAUGGGGGGGUGCCGCCCGGGAAUGGCCCGCCCGGGCUCGGGGGGCCCCGGCCAGUGAAGCGCAGGGGCACGGCGAACCGCAAAGAGCGGCGCAGGACUCAGAGCAUCAACAGCGCCUUCGCGGAGCUGCGGGAGUGCAUCCCAAACGUGCCCGCCGACACCAAGCUCUCCAAGAUCAAAACCCUCCGCCUGGCCACCAGCUACAUCGCCUACCUCAUGGACCUGCUGGCGAAGGAUGACCAGAACGGGGAGGCGGAGGCCUUCAAGGCAGAGAUCAAGAAGACAGACGUGAAGGAGGAGAAGAGGAAGAAAGAGCUGAAUGAAAUCUUGAAAAGCACAGUUAGCAGCAACGAUAAGAAAACCAAAGGAAGGACUGGCUGGCCGCAGCAUGUCUGGGCUUUGGAGCUCAAGCAAUGAGUACGGCAGGACUGAAGGAGCCGUCCUCUUAGUCUCAGUAGUGAGCUCUCCUGAGGACUCUUUGUAUUUGGAAUCGUCCAGUUUAUUUAUGUGCAAUUUCUUCCCCAACCCCCCAAAAAUGUGGAUAUUUGAAGGAGAGGGGAAAAGCAUUCCAUAUAUGAAGAGGAAACUCCAGCUUGGUCCAGGGCUGCCUACCUGCCUGCCUUCCUCUGCCGCCGCGCCUAAGGAAGUGGCUCCCGACGAGACCCGGCACUAAGCAGGUGUAACGGGACCUCCCUGACCAAGCCACAGAUAUCCCUAGAACAAACGUCGAGACAUCCAUGGGCAACUGCAAGGAUAUAAACACGGCCAGAGGAUGCCAUGGAGACAACAUGAUCUUGAAAGCGAGGAGCUAGAGACAUGUUGACGUCAGAUCAGACGGCUAGGAGCCAUCCUGCUCUACACUUGGGUGUAAUCACGGCGGCGCUUUCCAAGCCCCGGCCGCGGCCGCCAGCUGGGAUGCGGGUGCAGAGGGACCCAGUGCUCCCACCCCGGGGCUCCUCGGCUCCGAAGCUCCCAGAGGCUCCAACUUUACAAGAGUUUGCAGCCGAGGUUGUUUGUUUAUUUGUUUCUUUGGGCGUUUGAUAAGGAAAAAACAGUGCAUUCCGCCGGCGGUGCGUCCGCCCACCCUCCGUCCCAGCUCCCGCUUUAUCUCAGCUCGAUUUCUCCCUGCGCAUUCGCUCAUAGUGCUGUUUUCCAAAAUAAAUAUCGAGGCAGUCAGAUUUCCACCUUAUGUCUUGGCAGGGAAAAAUUAGCCAAGCAAAGUGGGGCGCUUACGUGACGGCAGUCGCAGGAGCGCUGGCACCCCGCUAUCCAAAGUGGCAGUCAGGUUUACAACCAACCGGAAGAGUUGCAAGCUGCUGUAAAACAAAACGAUUCCCUACUCAAACGGCAGUGCUGCUGCGGAGGAGAUGGCUUUGCACCUGCUAUUAAGUCCUAAUGAAUCGCCUCUAAUUUAGAUCUGAGGCUGGCUGACAGUAACGCCGAGCAGCCAGCUUGGUAGCCAUGGCUCAGCAGGAUCCCAGACCAUGUUUGUACCUUAUUUACAGAAACUUCUCGCCUUAUUGCUUUGUACGUUUCGUACCAUUUUCCCCCGCUUGUUUUGGUGGUGUUUUUUUGUUUUUUGGUUUUUUGUGGGUUUUUUUGUGGGCUCUUUUUCCCCGAGGAGAUAAAAAAUAAUAGCUGAAGAAAUAUAACUUAAGCCUACACCGGCUGCUCGCAAAAUCUUGGACUGCUGACACUUGUCCAGCUGUACAGUGCAAUCAGUGCUACUACCAGGAAGGGAGGGCGGGGUGAGGAUGAGAAAGCAGUUGAUCUCGUCUCAAGAGGAAAGGGAUAAUGUUAGACUAUUUGUCUGAAGGAUUAAAUUUUCGGGGUAAAAUACGCUUGC